AAAAAUAUCUUUUUCUCUCAGUACUUUCAGAAAUGUUAACAACGUGUAUGAGCUGGUCCUACCUACACCAUAUUUUAUAACCAAAAACGUCGCCCAAGAUUGUAGGUUUGGCAUAGUCAUGACUAUUGAUUGAGCGUUGUUCAAGUCAGUUCAGCCAGUUUUAAUAUCAAUUCUCUAGUUAACUGACGUCAAAGAUUAAAUCUUUUUAAAACAAAAUUAAGCCUGCAAAGGAAUAGCGGCGGAGUGGAUUAUUUCAAUGCUAAGAAAGCAGAAAGGUUUAAAGCCAGUCAACUUUCAGGAAAAAAAAAUUUUAAAAACAAAAUAAUUAGCAGAUAUUUAAUCAAAUUUCAGUAUUUUUAUUGUUUUUUUUCGAUUUGUUUGAUUUUAAGUGGAAAUCCACCUUAACGGAAAUGGUUUUUAUAUUCUUAUGUGGUUAAGUUUUUCUGUGAUUGGUUAAUGUGCACGAAAUAUACUACGGAAAAACGAGUGUAAGUUGCACCUAUUUUUCAAUGCCAUACUCCAGAAAGGUUACACUUUAUAAUUUGCUGAAUAUCGAGCAAAAUGACAAUUUGUAGAGAAAUUCAUUCCAAAAUUUUUUACUCAAAACAUUAUUUUUAUAAAACAGACAAACGUUCGCGGUAAUGGGAAACAAAGGUCAAACUUUUAUUUUUAUUUUUUUCACUUAAAAUGAAGUAUGAUGUGACAUGACAGACAUGUUUUUAUUAUUUAUUUUUACUCUAAUGUUGACUAGAAGCAAUUUAAAGUUUCAAUGGUUAUGAUGUCAUAGUUGCGUUAGGCUAUACUCAUAGUUAGUAUGUAGGUCAGAUCAAACAAAAUUCAGUAAACCUAACAGAUUAUUGGAAACUUUGAUAUCUUACCCUGAGGCAUAUUUAUACAUAAUAAAUUGCUAACAUACAUGUAACAGUAGAAACCUCUGUUCUCCUAUAAAGAGCCUUUGAGACUCCUAUAGUGAGAUUUUUUAGUUCACAAAGAAACACAUUAAAAGAGACCUACGUUUAUCAAGAGCUAUGUUUAGAUUCAGGAUCUUUUUCAGACCAUUCGCGUUUUUCUUCUCCCUUUUUAUUAACUUAUUUUUAGGGGAUUACCGUAACAUAGCCCAUCAUCAACCCCGCGCACACGAUCCCCGAAAUGUAAAGGAAUGUCAAGAACCGUAAUAAUUUAAUAUUUGGAUUGAAACAUUUAAUAACUUAUGAAAUAUUUAUAGCCAUUUUUUGCUAAGGGCUGGCUUUCUUUUAGGGCUCAUUUUGAGAGCGCGCUACAAUGAAAUUGAUUACCCUUAGUAAAUAAUUAACGUAUAGCGUCAGAAAGAUUUUACACAAACAGAAAAACCUCUUCAAAAUUUGUUAUUGUUAACCUGACAGAUCCAACUUCAACAAAUAACCAGGAAGGAGAUCUGGAAAUAAAAAAGAAAAGUUGUUUUUUCUAAAAAUACUAAAUUAGAGUUUUUAACUCUAAAUUUAAGUUUUUAAUUUUAAUACCUUUUUUAAUUGCGAUAGCGCGAUGGUUUGGUUUCGGCUCAGCCCUACGGCAUUCAAAAGUCACAUUAAUAAAGUUAUUUUAAGAUAACAAGUGCUAUCUUAAGAUAACUCUAUUAAUGUGAUUUCGGAAUGCGUGUAUAUUCACAUAAAUGUCUUGAUUGUAAGAUAACUCGAGUUAUUUUAAGAUAACAUAAAUGUGAUAAUUCUAUCUUUUCUAAUGCGCAUAUGUGUAAAUGAACGUUGCUUAGGGUGCGGAUACGUAAAGUAGCUCACAAAACAACAGCCUACAUGAAUUUCCGGCCGUAUUGACAUUUAUUUUGAUACGUCAUUUGUAUUGUCCUUGUGGUGUCGCGUAUGUGCUCUGCUGUAGAGUUCGCUCUGCGGUGGAGAACAAGAUGCAUUUUGUUAGUUUUGUGUUGUGAUGUAUUGUCCCGUGUUAAUUAUGUAAAGAGAAUAAUUGUAAUUUUGGUACUAUUUUUAGUUAAAUUUUCUGCACAUCUUGCACAUCUUUUUUCUGCGCAUUCAGUCUUCAACAUGUAAUGACAGAGUCGAACAUACAUUUUUGUAUUAAAUUUGCUGUUGAGUGAAAUUUUUCUUUCAUACAUCACAGGAGUUGUCCUGUAUCUCAGCAUCUGUUUUAGUUGUUUUCUCUCACAUGUAGUUGGCUUGGCUUACGCCACUAUAUAUCUAAUUAAAUCUUGGCAUUCAUUUUUUUGCUUUGCUAAAUUGUAUUUUUGGUAAAAGAAUAAUAUUAAACGAAGAUCCAUACAAUGUAAAUUGGAGAAACUAAUUACAUUACAACGAACGAGUGAAUGAUCAGUGAAAAACAAUCUAAGAAAUGUAUGGAUGCUGAGUCGUUUACAACACAUGUAAAAAAGUGCGCCAAAUAUAAUUUUUUUUAAAAAAAUCUGCCGAAUUUAUGGAUACUGUGUCGUUGAUAGCAAGCACAAACUGUGUAUUUGCUUUCCCCUCUUGAAAAUUUUAGCGAAUGUGUGCAUGAGAGUUCUGUAACCAUGGAACCAAUAUACGUCUUAUGUGCCUUUAACAGAACACUGUGUGGUGAAAAUCAAUAUAAGAAUUGCGUCAAUGCUGUGGCGGUUUCACGCGCUGUUAGUAAAAGUAU